GAGUGCUAAAUUUAUCUUCAGACGAGCUACCGCGCCCGCCGCGAAUUGGAUCUCUAUGGAGGUGGCAUAGGCGAUAUCCCUGAGCUGAGAGCAUCGCCCGGCCCCCCGAAUCCUUCUUCCCUCUGUUUUGUUUUUCAUUUCUCCCCUUCCUCCCUUCCCCCCUCUCCCCUCCAGUCCGCGACGACUGGCUCUUGACCCCGUUCAGGCCUCGGUGAAGGCUUUUGGUUCCUCCCCUUCCACCCUAUCCCUUAAUUUUAUUUUUUUUGAAGCGUCUGCAUUUCAAGCUGCCAAGUUGGAGAGAGUGAUUGCAGAAGGGAGUGCUCCUCAUUUCAGCUCAUCAGAAUAAUUACUAGCCCUGAAAGGAGCCUUAAGAUGUAUGACGGUGUCAACAGUGAAUGUAUCUAAUGGCAGUAGGCAUCAGAAAGCUAGAAGAGAUUCCAAGAUACUGUAUAUCAUGAAAGGGGAUGAUAAAUUAUGGCCCCAUGCUGUCUGUUUUUAUAAAUAGAGAUUUAUUGGAACACAGUUGUGCCCAUUCUUUACCGUUGUGUCUAUGGCUGCUGCCAUGCUACAACUACAAAGCUGAGUAGUUGCAACAGAGACCAUACGGCCCAUCAGGUAAAA
rnacentral:lncRNA from 1 species